UCCCUGGUGGCUUAGUGGUAAAGAAUCUGCCUGCCAAUGCAGGAGACACAGGUUCGGUCCCUGGUCAGAGAA
rnacentral:tRNA from 1 species